CCUACCUCAGCCUCCCGAGUAGCUGGGACUACAGAAAUGUCAAUUGCCUACCUGAUGGCUGUGAAAAACAGAAAGAAGAAACAAAGACAUAUCUGUAUGUAAAGGUUGAGCUUGAAAAAAGAAAACUACUCUUGACGCUGAAGAACGCAAUCCAACAUGAAAGAAUGCUUAUUUCAAGUUUUACCUGAAUCUACCUAGAGCUGAAUUUCUUAUCUAUACUUUACUACAGAUAUUCUGCUUUGUGCAGAUCUACAAUGGAUCAUUAAAGUCAAAGGACAAUUACUUAUCUUUCUACUCCUCCCAGUACCCAAGACCUGAGAGUGAGAUAUUAAAUUCGUCCUUAGAUCUUU
rnacentral:lncRNA from 1 species